rnacentral:sRNA from 1 species
UAAUAUAGACAGAAAAAGGAAGCCCUGCUGGAACAGGACUUCCCAUGUAGAGCCGCUUAAGACGGUGGCAAAGUUUAAUAAUAGAUUAAA